rnacentral:rRNA from 1 species
GUGGGGAAUAUUGCGCAAUGGGCGAAAGCCUGACGCAGCGACGCCGCGUGAGGGAUGAAGGUUUUCGGAUCGUAAACCUCUGUCAGAAGGGAAGAAACUACGUUGUGCUAAUCAGCAGCGUACUGACGGUACCUUCAAAGGAAGCACCGGCUAACUCCGUGCCAGCAGCCGCGGUAAUACGGAGGGUGCAAGCGUUAAUCGGAAUUACUGGGCGUAAAGCGCACGUAGGCUGUAGUGUAAGUCAGGGGUGAAAUCCCACGGCUCAACCGUGGAACUGCCUUUGAUACUGCACAACUUGAAUCCGGGAGAGGGUGGCGGAAUUCCAGGUGUAGGAGUGAAAUCCGUAGAUAUCUGGAGGAACAUCAGUGGCGAAGGCGGCCACCUGGACCUGCACUGACGCUCAUGCACGAAAGCGUGGGGAGCAAACAGGAUUAGAUACCCGAGUAGUCC